rnacentral:lncRNA from 1 species
CUCCCAAGGCUGCUCCUCCUCCCGGAGGAGAGCUUCUUCCUGCUCGUGUCCCCGGCAAAUGCUUCCCUCUCAGCCCCUCCACGCUCAAGGAACUCGUUCCGGUCCCAACCAGAGCCAGCCGCAGCGGGGAAGGGCAGAAACAAGUAGUAAUAAGCAAAGCACUUCCGGCUAAGCUGAGCCUGGGGGCGGGGCCCGCGGUGGCCGACGCCCUAUGUGGGCGUUCCGGCAAAGAGAGAGUCUAGUCCAGGGAAUCCUCUGGAAAAAAACGCUAAUGCGGCCGUGGAGGCGGUGGCGCGGAGGAUGAUUAGAUAAAGUGCGCUGCCCUCGGCGGAGGGAUUAUGUAGUUUGUAGAAAGGCAUCGUUACGAAACCCUCUACCCAAGGGAUUUCAGUUUUGUCCUGUUGGAUUUUUUUCCCUGAUGGCCCAUGACCUCACAGGAAUGCGAUGGAGCCGGCUCCCCGGGGAGCUCAGGCCUACUGUGGAUGUAGUGCCGAUGCCUUGGGCCUGAGCUGUGCACACUCCAGGGCGCGCCAUGGCUGUAGACCUCGAGGUCACCGACACCGUGCCCUUCCCCACCCCCACUUUCCUGUGUGUGGGCCCUCUCUUCCCACUCCCUCCGGGUGGGCUUUGCGGCAGCGCCCGACUGGUGACUUCAUGGGUGUGUCAAAAUAAUUCAAGGAACCUCAUUAACUUUAUUAACACAGUUAAGCAACAGUUCUACAACCUUUUUGGUCUAAGAGCAGAGGUUUCCAACUCAAAGACUGCUCACUUGGGAGCUCCUGGAACCAGAUUAAAAUAUCAUGGAAUGAGAAGGCCAAGGGUCCAGCCUGAAUUGCAGCCCCAGAGUCAUGAAUUUCAUGUAAUUUUGACCUAUAAUUCCCAAUUCCCGUAUAUAAGAAGCAACAGAAAGCCCCCCCCCCAGUUUGUUCCUGAUUUGAAGAACAAAGGACUACAAUCAAGAGUGAGAAUGGCAUGCUGACCGGAUGACAAGAGACGAAGGACACUGAGUUUAUACAAUCAACCUAAAAGGACAUAGAAGGACUUUGAAAGUUUGAACGUUUGAUCAUGAGGAUAUGUAAGAAUGCAUCACACAUGUUAAUAUCACAUAUAUACAUACACAUCCUACAUAGAAAAGGAAGAUAUCUCAUGGAAUGGGUAAGUAUACAACAGAGUUGCAACACAAAAGUCACACAUAUAAAUUUCUGUGGAAAAUUCAAACAGAUGAAGAUAUUUCUUAUCUGCACGAGUUUGCACAGAAAUCUAGAACAAUGUAUAUGGAUGUACAUUUGUAAAUCUGUAUAGGCACAACCUAUGUACACAUGUAAAUACUAAUUUACAAACAAGCUAUAUUAGGAUAAUUUAUUAAUGUUCUAAUGACGAACUAUAGGACAACUUAGAUAACUUGUUCAAAGUCUUAGGGACAUAGAACUACUUAAGUAUAGAAGCUAGAUUGCAUUAUGAUUUUAGGUGAGCAAUUGUUAGUGAUAGAAAAUUUUACUUAGUGAUUAUAGACAUUAGGAGAUAAGACAGUUACUUAUUCAAAAUGUUAUGGAAAUCGUUGAAACUGUUUAAAAUUAUUUACAUGAUUUGUUGUUCUGUCAAAACCAUGUUCAUGUAAAUCCCUAUUACCUAAUCCAUUUUCCUAUACCCAAACUUAGCAUAGAACUAGAUAGAAUAGCUAAGAUAAGUUAAGAUUUGUUAUUUUGGGAGGGUAAAGGAAUAUUUAACAUAGUACAGAGUUAUGAAUAGUUAGCUAAGAAAUAUCCAAAAGGUAAGUAUCAUUUAAAAAAAUGCAAGCUGCAUUUUUUAAGACAAAAAAGGGAGAUAUUGUCAAAGAGGCAUGAAUGCAAAGGACAUCAUCUGUCAGUCAAAAAGGAAGAUUCCAUUUGGAAUGUGACUGGGAGACAGUUGGAGUCAAGCAAACGGCUGAACUGGGUUUUUGGCUUUUGGCUUCUGACAGAGGUGGAAAAGAAACUAUUUGUCUGAGGCUUUUGCUUCUGACAGAGGUGGAGAAGAAGCUAUUUGUCUGAAGCUUUUGCUGGCUAGCUGAUUUGAAGGAGGAAGAAGAAGAAAGACAGUUGUCCUCAUAUCUCUCUGACUGACUUUGUUUCACAGUUGUGACAGAAUUGCCAUACCCCCAAUAUCCUCCAAACACUCUCUAUAGAGAAUAGGGAAAUCCUACCCCCUCUUACCUUAUACUCCAUCCUUUUCUGUCUUCCCCAAUAAACCCUUACUUGAGUUAAAAAAAGAGAAAAAA